GCUCAGGAUGAACGCUAGCGACAGGCUUAACACAUGCAAGUCGAGGGGCAGCGAGGGAGUGGCAACACUUCUGUCGGCGACCGGCGCACGGGUGAGUAACGCGUAUGCAACCUGCCCUUCACAGGGGGAUAACCGGGAGAAAUUCCGACUAAUACCGCAUACGUCCUCCGGGGGCAUCCCCGGAGGAUGAAAGAUUUAUCGGUGAAGGAUGGGCAUGCGUGAUAUUAGGUAGUUGGCGGGGCAACGGCCCACCAAGCCCACGAUAUCUAGGGGUUCUGAGAGGAAGGUCCCCCACAUUGGUACUGAGACACGGACCAAACUCCUACGGGAGGCAGCAGUGAGGAAUAUUGGUCAAUGGACGAGAGUCUGAACCAGCCAAGUCGCGUGAAGGAAGACGGAUCUAUGGUUUGUAAACUUCUUUAGUGCGGGAACAAAGCGGCGUCGUGACGCCGGAUGAGUGUACCGCAAGAAUAAGCAUCGGCUAACUCCGUGCCAGCAGCCGCGGUAAUACGGAAGGUCCGGGCGUUAUCCGGAUUUAUUGGGUUUAAAGGGAGCGUAGGCCGGAGAUUAAGCGUGUUGUGAAAUGUAGAUGCUCAACAUCUGCACUGCAGCGCGAACUGGUUUCCUUGAGUACGCACAAAGUGGGCGGAAUUCGUGGUGUAGCGGUGAAAUGCUUAGAUAUCACGAAGAACUCCGAUUGCGAAGGCAGCUCACUGGAGCGCAACUGACGCUGAAGCUCGAAAGUGCGGGUAUCGAACAGGAUUAGAUACCCUGGUAGUCCGCACGGUAAACGAUGGAUGCCCGCUGUUGGUCUGAAUAGGUCAGCGGCCAAGCGAAAGCAUUAAGCAUCCCACCUGGGGAGUACGCCGGCAACGGUGAAACUCAAAGGAAUUGACGGAAGGGCGAA
rnacentral:rRNA from 1 species